CUACGAUACUGGCAAACUUAUCGAAAGGUAAGGACGCAAAGCUACGGGUCUAAGGCUGAAAAGCUACGAUCGCCGGGUUGCCGAA
rfam:Domibacillus enclensis strain NIO-1016 genome assembly, contig: Ga0061089_107